rnacentral:lncRNA from 10 species
GGGAGGCAGAGGUUGCAGUAAGCUGAGAUACUGCCACUGCACUCCAGCCUGGGAGACAGAGCGAGACUCUGUCCCCUCGCUUGAAAAAAAAAUUAGAAAAUAGGGAUGUUAAUGCAAGGUGGGACACUGCCCAUGGAAAUACAAGUAUGCACAAUGGAUAGUGGAAACUGGAAUGAUGCAGAAUGCAUUUGGCAUUCACUCACUCAGUGGUUUGCCAUGAGGAGAGAAUGAAGUCAAUGCCAUCAUGUAUGAACUUUGGAGAAUUAUCCAGCUGGGAGUUAGAAGAACUGAUUGUCUUUCUUAUUCUUCUAUCAAUCAACUAGGUGACCUGAGGUUUGUCAGUGUGACUCUGGGACUCAAGUGGUUUGAGACCAGCCUGGCCAAUAUGGUGAAACACCAUUUCUAAAAAAAAUACAAAAAUUAGCUGGGUGUGGUGAUGUGCACCUAUAGUCCCAGCUACUCAGGAGGCUGAAGAAGGAGAAUUUUUUGAACCCAGGAGGCGGAGGCUGCAGUGAGCCGAGAUCACACCACUGGACUCCAGCCUGGGUGACAGAGCGAGACUCUGUCUCAAAAAAAAAAAAAAAAAAACCAAAAAACUUGGAAAUAACCAUGACUAGUUUGAAUUAAUGUUUCAUCCAGCCCCCAGAUCUGUGCAAACUAUGGCCAUAGGGAAUGAACCAUCAGUGGAUGUAAUUUUUCAUCCUGACAUCAACCUUAUAGGUAGAGCAUGCGUCAGCUCCUUGUAAUCUCCACUGAUGGCAUUGUGGUAUAUAAAUCCAGCCAAUCCCCUUUAAAAUCCACUUAAAUUUGCUGACAUUGCCUACCUCUUGGGGGUUAAGAGUUUCAGAAGAUUGUUAUCCUCUGUAUAAAAAGUAUUCCCCUUCCCUACUCCCUUUCGUCCUAAGUUUACCUUGCUCAGUUUUAAAAAGGAUCUCUUUUAAAGGAAACACACCCU